AUCCAACUGACGAGUCCCGAAUAGGGCGAAACGAACAUCCUGGAU
rnacentral:hammerhead_ribozyme from 1 species